rnacentral:rRNA from 1 species
AGAGUUUGAUUAUGGCUCAGGAUGAACGCUGGCAGAAUGCUUAACACAUGCAAGUCUACUUGAUCCUUCGGGUGAAGGUGGCGGACGGGUGAGUAACGCGUAAAGAACUUGCCUUACAGACUGGGACAACAUUUGGAAACGAAUGCUAAUACUGGAUAUUAUGAUUGGGUCGCAUGAUCUGGUUAUGAAAGCUAUAUGCGCUGUGAGAGAGCUUUGCGUCCCAUUAGUUAGUUGGUGAGGUAACGGCUCACCAAGACGAUGAUGGGUAGCCGGCCUGAGAGGGUGAACGGCCACAAGGGGACUGAGACACGGCCCUUACUCCUACGGGAGGCAGCAGUGGGGAAUAUUGGACAAUGGACCAAAAGUCUGAUCCAGCAAAUUCUGUGUGCACGAUGAAGUUUUUCGGAAUGUAAAGUGCUUUCAGUUGGGAAGAAGUCAGUGACGGUACCAACAGAAGAAGCGACGGCUAAAUACGUGCCAGCCGCUGC